AAUUCUCAACCCUAUCAGCUUUUGCUGAUAGUGGCUUGGAUGUGGCGGCUGCUGGCUCCGGUCAGCUCCCCUUAAAUGCAUUAGCUGGUGCCCUGUGUGGACUUGUCUAUUGGUGUGAUAAUUAUCUACACCGUGGAUGUCUGUCUGCGCACUGCUUCUAACCGUCUGUUCAUUCGGACAAUACAUAUGACA
rnacentral:misc_RNA from 1 species